CCGAGUGAGGGUCCUCGUGGCCCAACCUCCCACCCGUGACUAUUGUACCUUUGUUGCUUCGGCGGGCCCGCCAGCUUGCUGGCCGCCGGGGGGCAUCUGCCCCCGGGCCCGCGCCCGCCGAAGACCCCAAUUGAACACUGUUCUGAAAGCCUGUAUGAAUCCGAUUCUUUGUAAUCAGUUA
rnacentral:misc_RNA from 1 species